UGAAUUAACAAAAUAAUAUAGAUAAAAUUAAUUUUUAAUUAAGUUCAGUUUGUUAUUAUUCUAACCAUUUAAACGAAUUGGGCCUUGAAAUUUUUUAAUUAAGUUCAAUUUCUAAUUUCAAUUUGUUAUAAGUUCAAUUAAGUUCAUUUUAAACGAAUUGGGCCUUUUAAAUCUAACCAUUGACUAUUCGGCCACUUAUCAAAAUAACCGUUUAUUAAUUUCCAAGUUAAAAAAAAAUAGAAAAGGAAAGGGAAAAAAAAGGAGAGAUCUAGAAACGGUCGUCUCUUCUUGGCCGACGAACAAUCAGAUUGAAAUUGAUGGUGCUAUUCAAAGUUAUACAACAUAUAUUUGAGAAAGACAACUUCAGAAAUAAGAAAUCGAAAGAUCCUUAUGUAAAAGGUUUAGUUUUCACAGAUGAAGAGUUUCUUAGAUCUGAAAUUAUGUCACAGAAGAAGAUCAACCGUAUCAAAUGUUGAGGACUUUAACACAUCUGAAGAAUCGAACAAAGUUAAAUCAGACAUAUAAUCUGAGUUCAAAUGUAAUGGUGGUGCUGCUCCGUGGUGAUACAAUUAGCUGAAGAAAUAAGUUUAUUAAAAGUGUAGCAUUACACUUGCGUCUUACAAAGAAAGUUGCAGUUUCUAGGUGGUUGAAUGAGUAAGGAAUAUUGAUAGUGUGAUUCGGCUUGCAGAUAGGAAGGGAUUGAACAUGAACCAAUACUACCACCCAAAAAGAUAAGUAUCUUUUUAUACUUUACCAGAAUUUAAAUAUAUAGUAACUUACUGUUAUAUUAUGUUCUUUUGACAGGAAAAUAUGCGUAUUACAUGGUACAUCCAAAUGGAAAUUAAGAAGCAAAUUGAUGACAGCGACUAUUAAGAUAACUUUCUUCAGUGCAUUUAAUCAGGCAUAGGGUUUGCAAGAAAAAAGAAGAUGAUUUCGGUGGGGUUUUAAUGGUAUAGGAUGUUUCAUCAUGAAGAUAAUUUUGAUGGGCUGAAUAUUCAUUCAUGUUUGGAUUUAAA